GGAGAGGUGGCAGAGUGGUCGAAUGCGGCAGUCUUGAAAACUGUUGAUCGUUCACGCGAUCCGUGGGUUCGAAUCCCACCCUCUCCG
rnacentral:tRNA from 1 species